CGGGGUGUGGCUCAGUUUGGUAGAGCGCCUCGUUCGGGACGAGGAGGCCGGAAGUUCGAAUCUUCUCACUCCGACCA
rnacentral:tRNA from 1 species